AGUCAUAAAUAAAUAGAGCAAUAACAGGUUAAUAGAAAUAACCAAUUUAUUUUAAAUUAAAGGAGAAAAAAGCUAAUUAGGCAGACUAGUCACGCAAUGGCUGUCAAAACUAAGAAUUGUUUGUUAUAUUUAACACAACAAGAGGCAAACGGGCAGGAGGCUCACCGGAUGUUAAGCCUAUGGAACCACUCAAUUGCUGUCCUUUUAAGAAAUAGUACGUUUUCUUCUUGAAGAACCCUAAGUGGAAUUGAUCACUUUUUAGAUGAUUAAAUACAUUUAACACGGUUG